GCCUAUCCACGUCAGCCAAUUAAAUCAACCAAUCAUAUCAUUUUAAUGAUCCACGUCAUCAUCCACACAACGCCAGCAAGUCAUCUUCUCCAUUUUUGUAUAUCGUGCACGACUUUUACACUCCUAUUUACGACUUAUUUCCUCCCUCCUCCUUUAAUUAAUCAUCUGUCUCUGUGAUCACUCACGCUUCAGCUUCUCCUCUAUUCUAUAUACAAGCUGUAUUUUUUCUUUUUGGUUCUGCGACACUGGUCCGUGGUCUCAACUUCACCCGCCUUCGUCUCCAUGGAUGGAUCGAAGGAAACAUCAACAAGCUAUGUGAUCAACUCAAGAAAUCUUCUCCGAUAAAAGUUGAAUCUGGAAAUUCCAACACGAAGAAGAGAAGAUCUGAUUACGAUUCCCCCAUGCGGCUCCUGUUGCCGUCAAAAGGUACACGAUCUGAACGAUGAUAUUGACGGAGGAAGACCUGGUCGGGGGUGUUCAGGUAUAAAGGAUCUAAAUUUCUGAUUGAAAAUGCUAUAAAAAGGCUAGCUUUCUUCCUUUGAACAUCAUCUUCUCAACUGUGAAAACACCAAAGUUAAUUCAUUUUCUGUGAGAUGUCAAAAAAAAAAAAAAUUUCAUUUUCUGUGAUUUGAAGGCUUGGUUAUAUAUGUCUGUAUCAAGACUCGGUUGAUAAAACCAGGACCUUUGGAGAAGCGAAUUCGAGGUUUAGAUUUAUGAGAGUGGCUUGGGAUGUGACCAAGCGUCAGUAACAGAUUCAGUUGCAUUAAGACUAACAAGAAAGUGAAAAGCUAAUGGCUUGGUCUCAACGAGUUUUCAGAUUUGAGCCACGAAGGAGAGGUUACGGAGUGUUCCGAUCAUCAUUAAGAAGAGAUUAUUGAGUUUGGGGCUCAAGACUGAUGUAGAAAGAGCAAGAGUUCGCUUAUAAGGACUUUGAUGUGAGGCUUUGCCUAAAUCUGUUGAGUGGAGAACGAAAGGAGCCGUGCACUAUGUCAAGAACCAAGGCUCUUGCGGAAGUUAUUGGGCGUUUUUGGACAGUUGCUGCAGUGGAAGGUGUAAACAAGAUUGUGACCGCAAACUUGACAGCAUUGUCUGAACCAUAACUCAUAGAUUGUAGUCUGUGACACAACUUACAACAAUAUGAGCUCCAUUGAGCCUAUCCACGUCAGCCAAUUAAAAGGGAUAUAUGAGCUUUUGCGGUAAGAACCAAGGCUCUUGCGGAAGUUAUUGGGCGUUUUUGGACAGUUGCUGCAGUGGAAGGUGUAAACAAGAUUGUGACCGCAAACUUGACAGCAUUGUCUGAACCAUAACUCAUAGAUUGUAGUCUGUGACACAACUUACAACAAUGGCUGCAACAGUGGUUUCAUGGAUUAUGCUUUUGAGUACGUGGUGAAUAACGUAUUCGCAAGGAAGAGGAUUAUCCUUACUCUAUGGAAGAAGGAACUUUCUAAAUGCAAAAGGUUUUUGUGUAACUGCAAAAAAGGAAUAAAUUGGUCGUACUAAUUCUCUUUGUUUUUAAACCAGAUGAAUCUGAAAUGGUAACUAUCAGCGGGCACCAAGAUGCACGUAGAAAUGAUGAGAAAAAUCUCUUGAAGGCAUUGGCUCAUCAAUCUCUCAGUGUCGCUAUUGAUGCUUCUGCUAGAGACUUCCAGCGGUUGUGGGGUCGAUUUGGACCAUGGUGUUACUGCAGUUGGGUAUGGAUCAAGCAAGGGUUCAGAUUAUAUCAUUGUGAAAAAUUCUUGGGGACCAACAUGGAGGGUGGGGAGAAAGGUUACAUCAGGAUGAACACUGGGAAACCAGGGGUGUCUGUGGAAUCAAUAAGAUGCUUCCUUCCCCACCAAACCGAAGUGGUGAUAUCAUUUUAUCCUAUAUGCAUUUGAUCAUUAUCUUAAUAUCUUCAUAACAACAUGAAUUUUGUCAUGAAAUUGUUAUGUUAAUGAAUAGAAAUGUUGUAAGUA